rnacentral:rRNA from 1 species
UACGUAGGGUGCAAGCGUUGUCCGGAAUUAUUGGGCGUAAAGAGCUCGUAGGCGGUUUGUCGCGUCCGCUGUGAAAACCCGAGGCUCAACCUCGGGCCUGCAGUGGGUACGGGCAGACUAGAGUGCGGUAGGGGAGAUUGGAAUUCCUAGUGUAGCGGUGGAAUGCGCAGAUAUCAGGAGGAACACCAAUGGCGAAGGCAGAUCUCUGGGCCGUAACUGACGCUGAGGAGCGAAAGCAUGGGGAGCGAACAGG